rnacentral:misc_RNA from 1 species
AGUUUUCUUUUUUGCCCGUUUUCAAACUGUUUCUGUAGGAAGAUGACUGUCAAUUUCUGAUGUAGUCGUGAGAACUUUAUAAUAUUUUUGACAUGUUGGCAGCAAAACAUUAAAAGAGAAAUUUUCGGUUAACUUCCCGGAGAAUGGAGAUAGAAUGAUGUAGGUGUGAAGUUGAGUAUGUCAAGGAAGGGAGAGACAUACCCCAACCUCCGUUCCCGUAAACCCAAAAUGGUACCCUACGUUCAUUCCCAUGAUUCUCCAGAUUUAAUUGAUGAUGACAUAGACUCGGUUACCAGGAUAAAUCAUGCCAAGGACAUUCGUUAUGGAUCUGAGAAAUCUGGUCAAAGCUCAAGCGAAAGGAAAGCAACCAAUGGAGAAGUUAUAGCUGGUAGUCUUAUUGAAAUUGACGACAGCGGUGGGGGUGGUAGAGACUUAGAGACAGAAGCAGGUGACUUGGGUCUAGGAAGGAUUGCUCAGAAGUCUUAUUUGAACGACCGAGACCUAAGUGAGACUACAGAGACUAGUUUUAUUGAAAAUGGAACAGACACUCAGCCACUGUUGGAGAGUAGUGAGUCCGGGGAUGAUGGGAUAGAUAUAGAGAUAGUAAGGACUGAAGAAACUGGAGAAAGCUCAUUACAGAUCUGUCUGCAAGUAUCACUGCCAUAUAUUAUUGCAGGAUUUGGUAUGGUGCUUGCAGGAAUUGUCCUAGAUAUUGUUCAGCACUGGCCUGUGUUUGUGAAUGUUUCGGAGAUAUUUGUACUAGUACCCGCAUUGCUGGGACUAAAGGGUAACCUUGAGAUGACCCUUGCAUCAAGAUUGUCAACUCAGGCUCAUCUAGGAAACAUGGAUAAGAAGUCUGAGAAAUGGAAAAUGAUUGGAGGAAAUAUGGCACUGAUACAGGCCCAAGCUAUAGUUGUAGGUUUCCUGGCAUCUAUGGUUGCCAUGGUGAUGGGUUGGAUACCAGAGGGAAAGUUCAACCUUCAUCAUGCCCUCUUGUUGUGUGCCAGCAGUAUGUGUACUGCAGCCGUUGCUAGCUUUGUGCUAGGUUCGAUAAUGGUUGGUGUGGUUUUAUUGUCAAGAAAGUGCAACAUUAACCCAGAUAAUGUGGCCACACCUAUAGCAGCUAGUCUUGGUGACCUAACUACACUAGCCUUGUUAUCAGGAGUUGCCUGUUUAUUAUAUAAAUCUAUUGAUACUCAGCCAUGGAUAGCCCCUGUGAUGGUGACUUUAUUUAUAUUAUUGACUCCCUUGUGGAUCUAUAUAUCUCUACACAACCAUUAUACAAACCAUGUUGUUUAUUACGGCUGGGUACCAGUUCUCAGUGCAAUGUUUAUAAGCAGUGUUGGAGGGUUAAUAUUAGAUUUUACUGUAGCAAAUUACCAUGGCAUUGCUGUUUUUCAACCUGUGAUCAAUGGGGUGGGAGGAAACCUGGUAGCUGUGCAGGCUAGCCGUAUAUCUACAUCAUUACACAGGGUCAGUCGACCUGGCAAGCUGCCAAGUAAUGCAGUGCAAGGUUGUCCUAAUUGUCCAAGUGCCUUCUUUGGAAAAAAUAUUAAUGCAAGAGCCACCCGUGUUUUGUUAGGCCUAGUCAUUCCUGGUCAUCUGAUAUUUAUGUAUACCAUUUCCUUUAUGAAAGCUGGCCACACCAGUAUCACACCAAUAUUCUCUGUGAUGUAUCUCACUGCCGCUGUCUUACAGGUUGCUGUUUUGCUGUACGUUGCAAACUGGAUUGUUCAUUUGAUCUGGCGCAAGGGAGACGACCCUGACAAUGUUGCAAUUCCAUAUUUAACUGCCCUUGGAGAUCUCCUAGGCACUGCUUUCCUUGCCAUUGCAUUCCAUAUUCUCUUCCUGAUUGGUGAUAAAGAUGCAGAUAUACUGUAAUGGUGGUUUUGGAAAUGGUAUUGUGUCAUAAGUUAUGUCAAAAGACAGUGGUCUUUGGCAGUAAGCUGAUGAUACUGGUGAACGACAGCAUUUCCAUACGUCUGUACAUCAACAACUGGAUACCGCCGCUGAAGAAGAUAGCUUGUAACACACAGUAGAGAGAAAAAUACAGUGAAAUCACUCCAAGUCUGUUCAGUUUUGGAAAACAUAUAAUUAAAAACAGUUCUUUUAUGUGCCAUAUUAUAUUAAUAUAUUUUUUCAAAUUCAUCAUAUAACUGGAAAUGUAUUUUAUUUAUAAGUCAUAGGAUUGUACUUUUGAUGUAGGUUAGCCUUAAAUGACUUAUGGAUGAACAUUUACUGUUGGCAUUUUUCUUAUUAAAGGUAAACAAAACAGUGAAUGUAUGGAAAUAAUUGAUAAACAAAACAUAGACAGUAGCAUGGUGAUGAUGCCAGAUAAUUUCCUGGAAUGUUUUAAAUUAUAAAACAAAAACUGUUCAUAGUUCCUGUUUAUAGAGAUAGCCUGCAAGACAUUUGGUACAUUACACAUGGUCUGAAAGUAGUGGUUUUUAAAGUUUUUAUCACUGGUAAGAUAGGUAUAAUUAAGUAGGUAAAACCAGUUGGUGGUGGUGGCUCUAAAACAGAGGCUCUAUAAUUAUAGUAAAACGGGUGUUAAUGUUUUGGAAUAUUUUUAAUGCACACUUAAGUAGCUUUAGUUCUUUUUGGGCUUAUGAUUUACACAUACAUGUAUACUCCUGUUUGAAGAACAGGGGUGGAUUGUUUUGUUCAUUGGUUGGUCUGUUUGUUUGCCGAUAGACCAUUUAGUUUCAGAACAAUAUCUAGUGGAGCUCAGUAGGCUAGAGGUCAAUAACCUUUGACACCUAGUGGGAUGAUUGGACAUGCCAAGUAGACGAUCCCUAUUGCAGCCAACCAUCAAUGUCUCUUUGACUUACGCUCAUGUCCUUAUUGACUUCUUGCCUAUAUGACUGUGCAUUUGGGGAGACAUGCGCUUUUCUGAAAAAGUAUCUUCUAGUUUUUUUGAGAUCAGUAGGUUAAAGGUCAAGGUCACACUGAACUUAAGGCUGAAAACAGUUUCUACUCUAUAACUAAAGAAUGCUUUGUUCUGCAAUCUUCAAAUUCUUAUGAUGAUUGCCUAUCCCCAGUAGAUAACUCCUGGUCCAAUUGUUUAGGGGGUCGAUAAGUUAAAGGUCAAGGUCACAUGAUAUUCAGACUGAAAACGGCUUACUCUCAAUUACUAAAGCACACUUUGACCUACAGUUGUUUAACUUCAUAGGAUGGUUGCCUGUGGUCAGUAAAUGACCUGUAUUGCUUCCCAGGACUGAAAGUGGGAAUACAAUCAUUGGAGGCAUAUAUGUUUUACUAAUAGCUCCUGUUUAAUUUAUAUUGCUCCAAAAUUUGAAUGUUUGUUUCGUAUGCUUUGUUAGUUGAUGUAUAGUAGGGCCGCCAAGUAAGUUUUAGUUUUUCAUUUGUCAUAUUGCUGAGACAAGAUUUCUAAGAAUGAAAAGUUUUGCCUAUAGAAUAAGAAUAUUUUAUUUUGGAUACAUGUUAAGUCUAUAUAUAAGUCAAAAAUCAUUACAAGGUUGCAGGCACUGAAGUUAUUACAUGCAAAGGCAAAAGAAGUAUGUAAAUGUUAGAGCAGUUAGUAACAUACAUUUUAAAUUUUCUUUGUGAACUUCACAUAACUGUUUAUUACCUUUCAUGUAUUUCUAUGACUUAUUUAUUUCAAAAUGCCUUUUCUGGCAGAUGCCAUGUUGUUGUUGUUGUUAUCAAAACCUCCCUUCUGGAAGAACCGUCAUAGACGUGGUUAAUAAUAAUCUGACCACCGAAUAUUUAUGCACUUGGCAAUACCACCAUCUGCUUAUUUACACAGGAUGCUAUUUACAUCACAUAUAUAUAUAUAUCUAUAUCAGUUCAAUUUAUUCCUCUAAAAGAUAGGAUUAUACAGUAUUGGAAUAUGCAUUUAUCUUUUAAAUUUGUGAUCUUUCCAUUAGCAUAUAUCAUGUUUUAAUGCCCUUUGAUGAAUUGUCUUCCUUCUUAAACAAAAUAAAUGAUAUUUAAGAUA